rnacentral:rRNA from 1 species
GGGCCCGCACAAGCGGCGGAGCAUGCUGAUUAAUUCGAUGCAACGCGAAGAACCUUACCAAGGCUUGACAUGAGGCGAAAACCGGCAGAGAUGUCGGGUCCGCAAGGGCGCUUCACAGGUGGUGCAUGGUUGUCGUCAGCUCGUGUCGUGAGAUGUUGGGUUAAGUCCCGCAACGAGCGCAACCCUCGUUCUAUGUUGCCAGCACGUAAUGGUGGGGACUCAUGGAAGACUGCCGGGGUCAACUCGGAGGAAGGUGGGGAUGAGGUCAAAUCAUCAUGCCCCUUAUGUCUUGGGCUUCAAGCAUGCUACAAUGGCCAGUACAAAGGGCUGCGAGACCGUAAGGUGGAGCGAAUCCCAAAAAGCUGGUCUCAGUUCGGAUCGGGGUCUGCAACUCGACCCCGUGAAGUCGGAGUCGCUAGUAAUCGCAGAUCAGCAACGCUGCGGUGAAUACGUUCCCGGGCCUU